rnacentral:rRNA from 1 species
UGGGGAAUAUUGGACAAUGGGCGCAAGCCUGAUCCAGCCAUGCCGCGUGGGUGAAGAAGGCCUUCGGGUUGUAAAGCCCUUUUGUUGGGAAAGAAAAGCAGUCGGUUAAUACCCGAUUGUUCUGACGGUACCCAAAGAAUAAACACCGGCUAACUUCGUGCCAGCAGCCGCGGUAAUACGAAGGGUGCAAGCGUUACUCGGAAUUACUGGGCGUAAAGCGUGCGUAGGUGGUGGUUUAAGUCUGUUGUGAAAGCCCUGGGCUCAACCUGGGAAUUGCAGUGGAUACUGGGUCACUAGAGUGUGGUAGAGGGUAGCGAAAUUCCCGGUGUAGCAGUGAAAUGCGUAGAGAUCGGGAGGAACAUCCGUGGCGAAGGCGGCUACCUGGACCAACACUGACACUGAGGCACGAAAGCGUGGGGAGCAAACAGGAUUAGAUACCCUGGUAGUCCACGCCCUAAACAAUGCGAACUGGAUGUUGGGUGCAAUUUGGCACGCAGUAUCAAAGCUAACGCGUUAAGUUCGCCGCCUGGGAAGUACGGUCGCAAGACUG